AUGCUAGGGUGCUCACUUCCGAACAAGUUAAACACCCCUCCUAACGCCACCGCUGUGGUCUUUAUAUAAGCAUCACAAGUAAGCUCUGGGACUCACAGUGCACAUGAGUCGGAAUGGAAAUCCUACAUUUACAACGAAACAUAGCAGUAUUUUUACUGAUAGUACUUUUGCUUAGCAAUUUUAGCGACGGUUCAAAUUUCCGGGGCAGCCGAAUAUACAGAAGAAGAAUGGUGCGCAGAGUGCCAACAAAAGGUUCCUCYUCUAAACUUAUGAUUACCAAUGAUGGUAAAGUAGUUAUACAAGGGACGAAAAAACCACUUACUGAACAAGAACAUUACCAACAGAGUAAUGACGAAAAUCUAGAUAUACCCAAAUAUUUCGACACAAGAAAUAUUGAUCGAGAGAUUCGAUAUUUCUUCCAUUGACUGGUAAGGACAAGUUGAAUGGCGGUAAUCCAGAAGAGAAAGGCUUGUUUGAUGAUGCUAUGUUCCAGAUGAUUUCGAGAGCUUGUUGUAUGUCAUCGCGUAAAAAAYGACUUACUUUAUGUACAGCYGUUUUACUCUUUGUGCGCAGUAUUUAUUUUUAUCGUAUAAAAAAUCCAACAUUGUAUGAAAGCACAAGAGAGAUCAAAUGUACUAGCAAAAUAAAUAUAUUUAUAUAGCAAAUAGUGAACGAAGUAUAAAUAAAAAAAUUACUGA